rnacentral:rRNA from 1 species
UACGAAGGGGGCUAGCGUUGCUCGGAAUUACUGGGCGUAAAGGGCGCGUAGGCGGCUCAUACAGUCAGGCGUGAAAUUCCUGGGCUCAACCUGGGGACUGCGCUUGAGACGUGUGGGCUUGAGUGGGGAAGAGGGUCGUGGAAUUCCCAGUGUAGAGGUGAAAUUCGUAGAUAUUGGGAAGAACACCGGUGGCGAAGGCGGCGACCUGGUCCUUGACUGACGCUGAGGCGCGAAGGCGUGGGGAGCAAACAGG